UACAGAGGGUGCGAGCGUUAAUCGGAGUUACUGGGCGUAAAGCGUGCGCAGGCGGCUUUGCAAGACAGAUGUGAAAUCCCCGGGCUUAACCUGGGAACUGCAUUUGUGACUGCAUGGCUGGAGUGCGGCAGAGGGGGAUGGAAUUCCGCGUGUAGCAGUGAAAUGCGUAGAUAUGCGGAGGAACACCGAUGGCGAAGGCAAUCCCCUGGGCCUGCACUGACGCUCAUGCACGAAAGCGUGGGGAGCAAACAGG
rnacentral:rRNA from 1 species